ensembl:snoRNA
CUCCAGGCUCCUAUCGAAGCCGGUCCUGCUCUCCUGUAGCAGCCGCCGGUCAAACGGAAGCCCAGAUGAAGCCUUUCACCGACGGUCGCUGCUCAGCGGACCAGUGGCUGUUCAGCAACAUUUAGGGAAAGGACACUC